rnacentral:lncRNA from 1 species
AAAAACCAAGAAUGACACUCAGCAUAACUCUUUGUAAUGGCCACUGGAACAGGCAAACAGCUACGUGAAGAAGCCAUUACAAACACAAGCAGAGAUCUGCAACAAGCAUCCAUCAGUCCAUCACCGAGCUUAUCUCUGUUCAAAGAGCAUUUGUUCACAGAGCAUUAGAAAAUAGCACAAUAUAGAAGUUAUCUUACUGCAAAACAAGAUCCCUCCACAAUGGACAAUAUAUAUUUAUUAAGUUCACUUGGGACCUAAAAAAGUAAAGAUUAGCUGGUUAAUACAUGCAACUAUCCAGUUUCAAGAAUUAAGCAUGUCAUGAUCACUGCAAAAUGAAAGAUUAGCUGGUUAAUUCUGAAGGGCAGCAAAUUUGACAUAUGAACAUAAGGGGCUGGCGGAGGUUCU